AUUUUGUCUCGAUUGUAAGAAGAGUCUUACAGUAGCAAAGAUGAGUUCAUAUGGUUUGGUUGAGGAAUUUUAAGUGCUAACGUGUGGGUGUAUGAAAAUCUAAUCUUUAGUUUCCUUGUAUAUAUUGAAUAGCAAUUUUUUUAUUCGUUUUUUAAAAUCAUCUAAGACAUCUGUCAAUUAACAUAAGAAAUAUUGGGAGCCAUGACUUUGCAGGAUGCUUUGUUCAAUAAUGAUAAAAAAGUAAGGACACCUUUUACUAUCAUGUGUCCACAUAUGGCUUUAGGAGACAACACGCUUGGUCCGGCUCAAAGUUCCUCUGUCUCCGUAGAGGUUCAAGUGGAUGAUAUGAGGUAUGCUUUUAUCAAACUGGUACAUCAAGGUAUGGUCACUUUACAAGUGCUCCCAAUAUCAAUUAUAAAGGGUACAGUUUUAGUAACUUGAAUCCAUCAAAACAUUUAUAUCAGUUUAUAGAAAAGGUUUGUUAAUGGUAUUUUACCAUACACAUCGGGAAAAAAAAUUCAAUGUGCUCUACUGCUACUUGUAUUUUGUCUCAAUUCCAAGAAGAGUUUUACAGUAGAAAAGAUGAUAAAAACCAGAAUAUUUCCUCCCUAAUUGUCCUUAUGGGUCUGGGAGGGGAAUUUUUAAUGAUAAUGUUUGGGUGACUGGGUGUAUAAAAAUCUGAGUUUUACUUCAUUUAUAUAUCUUCUGUUAUAUUUUUGACAUACGUAAACGAUUGUGGUCAAGGAAUCAAGUGAUUCUAUGGAAAAAUCUGGUACUUGGACACCUCUUACUCCAGGAAAGCCUAUUUUCGCUACAUUAAGACAUAGCCAUGAGUCGGCAUUUAUUUCUGAAAAAGGGACUAUAAAAGAAAUUAUAAUUGAGGCAUCUCCGUCUAUAGAGUUAUAUGAUUCUAAUAGAUAUUUAAAAAAAGAGUCUGCAAAACAUUUAGAGAUUAUUGGCGGCUGUUGAGUGAUGAAUGAUACAAGUAGGUAAACUAUGUGUCUGAUAAAGUCAUAAGAAGAGAGCAUCCGAAGGUAGGUUUUGUCCCAAAAUAUAGUAUUGUCCCCUUUAUCUUAACACAUAAUUGGGUUUAGGGACAAAGAUGUGUUUUGGUUGCUUCUUUGAAGCCCGUGUCAUUUCAGGUUGAGCUUGAAAUCGGCCUCAAAGAACUGCUGUCCCCACCGGAGGUGCGGCAUCCCUAACGAGGAAUACAUUAUCAGCCCAAAUACGAUAACCAUCAUGUGAACCAUUCACAUUCCAACAACCGGCCUAUCAGAGAAGAAGAUUAAAAGAUUAUAGUCACGGCUGGUGCAUCGUCACUAACCAGGAAUACAUUACCAGCCCAAAUACAAGACCCGUCAUCUGAAAUAUUCAAUCGGCCUAAUAGAAAAGAAGACCAGAAGGCAUGCUAAAUUUAUGAUUCAGUUGCACAUAUGAAGGCUGUUGGAAAGGCUUUUGAAUCUAAGCAAAAGACUAUGCAGCCUAUAACAUUUAAGGCUCGAGGUUGAGAUUAC